GCGAGGGCGGGACGCUGGUUCAGGUACCCGAGCCGCGGAGAGCGGAGUUUCAGGACUUUGGAGCCCAAAGACUUCGAGAAGAAGACACCUAUUCACCACACUCCUGCCUAGAAAACAACCAGAAAUAUUUGCCCAGGUACACAGACACCUGCGGAAACCAGUACAGAACCCUCACCACUUAGCUUUUGCUAACAGCAUACCUUGCCACUGAGUUUUCCUGAAGACUGUCCCAUUCAACCUGAAGACCUCCCUCCAGAGUGAUUCCUCAUUGUGCCUCAACGGGGGUCAGCACCACUCCAGAGGUACUCUUGCCCUGGGGAGAGCAGAAGAUAACCGCACACACAGCAGUUCAAUGGCAGCCCCGACGCCCCACCCACCAACAGAAACCUCCCGGGGGUGGGGGUCAGCACAAAGAGAACCCAGUCAUUCAGGAUCACUGCAACCACCACAGAAGACUGGGGACAGACAUCUUCUCUUACUCCUGACCUUGCCCACCAAUGAAAGCCCCUUGGGGACAACAGAGGGAGAGAACUCUAUAGAUUGGUGCAUCCAUGGUUCCAGCAAGUGGGCUGAAGGCAAGUAUUGGGUCUGACCUAAUUCAAGCCCAGAGUGGCCCCAGACUGGCACCUUAACAGCACAGGGACCAAACCCUGAUGACAACAGGCAAAGAGGGCCAGGGAAGCCAACUGGACUAAAGGCAAAUAUGGCUCAACGACAGUAGUAGGGUACAUGCAACACACACAGGAGAUCCCCCUGAAGCACCAGGGUCUACGGAGGAGGGAACAUUGCCCUAUAGGGCAUUUCAGGAUCGCUUCAUAAGGCCUCUCAUUUCAAGAUCAGGAGACCUAGCUGACUUGAAUACAAAGAAGCAGAAUUAGGAAUUAUGCCCCAAAUGAAACAACAGGACCAAGAAGAGAAUGUAAUUGUCAUAAAGAUACUCACUAGACUUAAGAUUGAAAGAUCCCCACGUGACCUUCAGCAAAGAAAGAAAAUAUUAAAAAGAACCAAUUAGAGAUGAAGAGUUCUGAAAUUAAAAAUAUGCUCAAGUCAAUAAAUAGUAGGCCAGAGGAAGCAGUAAAACAGAUAGGAAGCUAGAUGACGGUAAUGGAGCAACCAAGCUGGACAGGACCCCCCCCCCCAAAAAAAAAAAAUGGUAGGAGAACUCAGCAACAGCAUUAGGUGUAAUAACAGUCACAUUCUAGGGAUCCCAGAAGGAGAAGAGAGACAAAAAGCAGAAAUUUUGAUUAAGUAUCUGAAAACUUUCCUAAUCUGGGGAAGGAAAUAAAUCUAGGUCCAGAAGUCACAGAGAGCCACCAAAAAAAAAAAAAAAAAAAAAAAAAA